GUUCUCACUUUGGCAGCACAUAUGCUAAAAUUGAAAUAAUACAGAGAUUAGCAUGGUCCCUGUGCAAGGAUGACACACAAAUUCAUAAAAAGUGGAAUGGGGGA
ensembl:snRNA U6 U6 spliceosomal RNA